UUGCUCACCACCCGUUGACCGAUGCCCAGCCUAUCCCCGAGCAGCCGGCCCCCCACCCCGGCUAGCCACCCCUAUAUAUUGUUCAGCAUGACGUCAGAUGGUAUGGAAUACCCCUUUGGCCAGUUUGGGUCAGCUGUCCUGGGUCUGUCCCCUCCCAGAUCCUGCUGCACCCCCAGCCUGCUCGCUAGCAGGACAGAGCGAGAAGCUGAAAAGUCCUUGGCUUGGUGUAAGCAUUGCUCUACAACAAUUAAAACAUCAGCAUGUUAUCAGCGCUCUUCUCAUCCUAAUCCAAAACAUAGCACCCUGCCAGCUACUAGGAGGAAAAUUAACUCUGUCCUACCUGAAACCAGGACAGGUUUUUCAUCUGAAAUCUGUGAAAAUGAUUUAAUUGGGACCAGUUGAUGUUUGCAGUUUUACAGCAGGUCUGGGUACAGCAGGUAAGUAUGUUUGCCUUCCAUACAGAGUAAACUGGAAGAAGCAGACAUACAAAGACAAUAAUACAUGUGAAUAUAUGUGAACACAACAGGAAAGAUUCAGACUGGCUUCUGCAGAAUGAAGCAAUAGUAAAUAAUACUGCAUCAUGGCUCAGAAAAGGAAAGGAGAUGAAGUGUUUCAGUGAAAGUCAAAAUGAUGUACACACAUUUAUUCCCUCAUCUGGGAUGCACUGAGACAAUACAGAAAAAAGCAUCUCUUAUGGCAGCCUCCCUGAGCAACAACUCCAUACCCACAGCACCAUCGGUGGACCUGGACUGUCACGCUGGAGGAUUUGAAUACUCCUGAGAACUCUGUUAUUUCAUUCUCACCAAGGCUUAGAAAAGUAAUUCCAAAAUGAAGAGAAACAAAUAUUAGACUAUUUUCUGGUACCGUGGCAGGAAGUGGCAAAACCUAGUCCAGUUGUGUAGUGUUAGACUUGAUUAAGGCUCAGGAAAAUCUUCAGACUUCAGUGUGUUUAUUCUAGUAGAAAAAUUCCCAGUAACUUUAAUGGAUUUUGGAUUGUGCCCUAGCUUUCUGGUUGUUAUAUGAUAUCUCAGGAGAGAUUUCAUAAUGUUUAGAGAUUAGCAAACUUUGGCUAACCAGUAGUGAUGCUCUACUAUUUAGAACCAGGAGUCAGGAGAUCUGGUUUUGUCUUAAGUCUGUACCAGAAGGCUGGCAGAUUAUUCAACCUCCCUGUCUUGUUAUCUAUGUUAGCAAAAUGGGGAUAAUAAUCCCAUUACCAUCUCCCGUUCUUACUCACCCAAGGUGCUAUGAGAAUUCUCAAAUGAUUUGAGACCCUCUGAGACAACUCUGUGAGUGAAAUGCCUUGUUUUAUUUUAUUAUUCAAUACAUUAUAUCUGCGGCUCCCAUUUGGUUCCCAUUUUGGAACUUUCUGUAAGAGGAAUUAUUACUGAGAGCUUCAGAGAUCUAUUAAAUCACACAAAGCUUUAGGAAAAAAAAAGAAAAAAAAACAGAAAGAAAAAAUAAAAAAACAAAAACAAAAACAAGCCAAGCCUUCCAUCUAAAUAGAGAAAAUUUUCAUAUUUUUUUCUGCCAAAAGCCCACAUACGUCUUUACUGAAAUCUAUAUACAAUUAACAUCAGAGAGAUCCCUAUUUCCUCUAACAGGUCUCUGGGUUUCAGUCAUUUUUGCUACAUUUUCAGAUCGCUUUUCUUUAAUAUAGUGUAAGGGUUAGUUGUUCUGUUAGGAGAUAUGAACCAAAGCUUUCACUUGUGAGUUGCAGAUUGUGGAUGAAACAGAUCAAGAUAUAUUUAAAUAAAUAAACAGACGGAGACCUGUCUGCUGAUUUCAUGGCAUAUGACAUAGUGCAUGUAGGUCUUCUAGCAGGCAUUUUUUCCAACUUUUAUUAAAUUUCAACUAUAGCACAUACUGCACACAUUGUUUCUUUCUUUUUUUUUUUUUCUUCCAACAAUAAACUCCACAGAAGCUUGGGAAGAAAGAACACUGUAAUUCUCAGGAGGUUGUAGUGCACUACGUAUAUGCUUUGCCAAUUUCUUAUAGUGGAUGUUUUUCUAAAACCUUUGAACUGUAACUUCAUUCUAACAAGAGGGAAAAUAUCUUGUUUAAUCAAUAAGACAUGGCAGGGCAUGAAUAAGUGCAUAUUUGUGAUCAAAGCUGCUUGUCCUAAAUGAACAUCCUCUGGUACAAUUUAAACAGUGAAAAGUCUGAAUAGGAGAAUGCAAUUUUAUUAUAAAAUGUUACUUUUUGUCAAAGAAUUUGCAUAAUGUUAAUUAAAUGAACAGGCUAAUAAGCUCUGAGUAGUGAAUUCUGCUGUUUUACAUUCUAGUCAAUUAGAUCAUUCAUUUUUUUUUCAGACAUUCUUUAUUAUGUAGGCUAAAUGGCUAUAUAAUUUUAUUAUUUUUUUUCUCCCUAUUUUAGCAGAAAAACAGAAAUAGCAGUAAACAGAAAAUUAAAUAAUUGUCAAAAUAAUUAAUGGGAUCAUUUGCUUACCAACCCUAAUAAUUAAAACAACAUCAAAAUAAGUGGAUUAUAUGACACAAGAAACACUGCCCAAACAAGAAUUUUUACUGCUGAUGAGAGACUCACUUC